UUUUCUGAGCUUCAGUUUCCUCACUGGAUGAGUAGGAAAGUCAUGCCUGUCUGGCUUAACUAGAGGGCCUGUGGUGAGGCAUAAACUGGAGAAGAAAAUCAAACCAUUUGGUGAACUGUCAAGCUCAAUUUCCCUCUUUAAGGAAGAAAGGAAAGUGUUUUCCUGGAUACUAGAUAUGCUGAGUUGGGACAGGAGCUAAGGACAGAGGUGAGGAAACCUGCAGACAACAGCGACAUGCUCCUCAUCUUUGAGUCCCAGCGAACCUUUCCACUGUGUGUGUGUGUGCGUAUAUCUGUGUAUAAGUGGUGGUGGGACAGAGGGUGGGUGAGUAGGAUGGUGGGAUGUUGGGAUUGCUGAGUGGGAAUAGGCAGUGGGAAUGUCAAAAGUAUUUUUGUUGUUGUUGUUUGAAACAGGAUCUCACUCUGUUCCCCAGGCUGGAAUGCAGUUACUGAUCACCUGCAGGCUUGAACUCCAGGGUUCAAGCGAUCCUCCUACUUCAGCCUCCUGAGCAGCUAAGGACUACAGGUGUGCACCACCAUGCUGGGCUAAUUUUUUUUUUUUUUUUGAGAUGGAGUCUGGCUCUGUCACCCAGCCUGGAGUGCAGUGGCGCGAUCUCGGCUCACUGCAAGCUUCGCCUCCCGGGUUCACGCCAUUCUCCUGUCUCAGCUUCCCAAAUAGCUGGGACUACAGUCUCCCACCACCAUGCCCGGCUAAUUUUUUGUAUUUGUAGUAGAGAUGGGGUUUCACUGUGUUAGCCAGGACGGUCUCGAUCUCCUGACCUCGUGAUCUGCCCACCUCGGCCUCCCAAAGUGCUGGGAUUACAGGCGUGAGCCACUGCACCAUGCUGGGCUAAUUUUUAAAUUUGUUGUAUAGAUGGGAUCUUGCUAUGUUGCCCAGGCUGGUCUCGAACUCCUGGCUUCAAGCGAUCCUCCCACCUUGGCCUCCCAAAGUGCUGGGGUUGUAGGCAUGAACCACCACACCCAGCCAUGGGAGUAUUUUUCUUCCCUUUCAGUGAUUCUAAUGGAUUGUGAGGAGCACAGGAGGGAGGAGAAUCUAAUUUUUAUUUCAUGUCUACCAUUCAUUUUCUCCUGUGCAAAAUCAAGGUUUGGACUUGAUGGGCUAUCUUCAAUUUUUUCUCUGGUGCUAAUGUACUGAUUCCAUAAGCAAAUUCGAGAGCCCAUGUAAACAGUAUGGUGCCUGGUACAGGGUGGGUGUUCAAUGAAUGGCAACUAUCAUUAUUAUUCACCCAGCACAUUAUGUUCCUGAAAACCAGGAACUGCUUCCUGUCUGACCCACUGCAGUGGUGGAGAGGAUCAAGGGAAAUAAUGAUCAUGGAUGUGCUUAGGAGACGUAAGGUGAGGUACACCAUCAUGGAGCUGUCUCUGCUCUCCCUGUCCCUUCAGUGUGCAUGGUCCAUACCACUCAGUCAUUCCUUACCCACUCUACAGAUUUUACUAAGAAUUGCUGUGAGCUGGGCACCCUUCUACGCUCUGCAGACACCAUGGCUAGUAAGACAGGCAAAGACCUGCCAUCUGGAGCUUGUUUGGAUAUAGGGUAGGGGGAUGGGGAGAAGGGAGAUAAACAAUAAACAAGUAAAUUUACACUCUUUUAUUGUGAAUCAUCCUUUCACUGGUCUUGUCUUAACUCCAUGAACACAGCGACAGUGUCCUAUGUGUUUUCUAUUUAUUUGUAUUCUCCACCUGCUUUCCAAUAAAUGUCUUAGAUAAGCUGCUAUAUCAAUGCAGAUUAAGUCAUACUAACUUCUUGUAGCAUCUUAAUUAAAUGGGCUCUCUGGAGUCAGACUUCUAGGUUCAAAAUCCAGCUUCAUGACUUAUUAUUUAUUUAUUUUUAAUAAAAACUAUUUUUAAGAAACAUAUUUACAACAUGACGUUUUGAUAUACAUAUACAUAGUGAAAUGAUUAUUCCAGUUAAACAAAUUAAUAUAUCCAUCUCCUCAUACAGUUGCCGCUAUUUUUGUGUAUGUGGUGAGAGCACUUGAAAUCUCUUCUCUUAGAAAAUUUCCAGUAUUCGGCUGGGCGCGGUGGCACACACCUGUAAUCCCAGCACUUUGGGAGGCUGAGGCGGGUGGAUCACCUGAGGUCAGGAGUUCGAGACCAGCCUGGCCAACGUGGUGAAACCCGGUCUCUACAAAAAAUACAAAAAUUGGCCGGGCAUGGUUAGUGGCACACGCCUGUAAUCCCAGCUACUCGGGAGGCUGAGGCAGAAUUGCUUGAGCCAGGGAGACGGAGGUUGCAGUGAGCCGAGAUUGUGCCACUGUACUCCAGCCUGGCCGACAGAGAAAGACUCUGUCUCCAAAAAAAAAAAAAAGAAAAUUUCCGGUAUCCAAUAUAAUAUUAUUAACUCUACAGUAGCCCUCCCUUAUCUGUAUUUUGGUUAUUCUGGUUUUGCUUACUGAGGUCUCAGUUACUCUCGGUCAACCAUGGUCAGAAAAUAUUACAUGGAAAAUUCCAGACAUAAACAUUUACAUAACUUUUAUUACAGUAUAUUGUUAUAAUUGUUCUAUUUUGUUAUUAUUGUUGUUAAUCUCUUACUGUGCCUAAUUUAUAAACUAAAGUUUAUCAUAGGUAGUAUAGGAAAAAACACAUAAUAAAAUAGUAUAUAACAGGUACUAUCCAUGGUUUCAGGCAUCCACUGGGGGUCUUGGGACAUCCACCACAGAUAAAUGGGAACUGCUGUAGUCCUCAUGCUACACAUUCGAUUCUACAUAACUGCAACUUUUUGCCCUUUGACCAGAAUCUCCCAAUUUCUCUUACAGCCCCGCCACUGGUAGCCAAAGUUCUACUCUUUGCCUCCAUGUAUUUGACUUUUUUAGAUUCCACAUGUAAGUGAGAUCAUGUAGUAUUUUCCUUUCUAUGUCUGCCUUGCUGUUAUUAAUGAUGACUUUCAACAAGUUGCUUACUUUCUCUGGGCCUAAAUUUCUUCAUCUGUAAAGUAAGAUAUUGGACCUAACCUGUUUGGGGCAAUUGAACCAUUAAAGAAUCUGAUGAGGGCUGGGCACUGUGGCUUAUGCCUGUAAUCCCAGCACUUUGGGAGGUGGAGGUGGGUGGAUUGCUUGAGCUCAGGAGUUGAAGAGCAGCCUGGACAACAUGGCGAACCCCAUCUCUACUAAAAAUACAAAAAUUAGCUGGGCAUGGUGGCAUGCCUGUAGUCCCAGCUACUCAGUGGGGAGGCAGGAGGAUCGCUUGAGCCCAGGAGGCAAAGGUUGCAGUGAGCCAAGAUCGAGCCACUGCACUCUAGCCUGGGUGACAGAGUGAGACCCUGUCUCAAAAAAAGAAAAGAAAAGAAAAGAAAGGGCCGGGCGCGGUGGCUCAUGCCUGUAAUCCCAGCACUUUGGGAAGCCAAAGCGGGCGGAUCACCCGAGGUCAGGAGUUCGAGACCAGUCUGGCCAAUGUGGUGAAACCCUGUCUCUACUAAAAAUGCAAAAAUUAGCUGGGCGUGGUGGCGGGUGGCUGUAAUCCCAGCUACUCGGGAGGCUGAGGUAGGAUAAUUGCUGGAACCCAGGAGACGGAGGUUGCAGUGAGCCGAGAUCAUGCCACUGCACUCCAGCCUGGGCGACAGAGCAAGACUCUGUCUCCAAAAAAAAAAAAAAAAAAAAAAAAGCCAGUGCUGUGGCUCACACCUGUAAUCCCAGCACUUUGGAAAGCCGAGGCAGGAGGAUCACUUGAGGUCAGGAGUUUGAGACCAGCCUGGCCAACAUGGUGAAACCCCGUCUCUACUGAAAGUACAAAAAUUUAGCCAGGCGUGGUGGCACAUGCCUGUAGUCCCAGCUACUUGGGAGGCUGAGGCAGGCGAAUGGCUUGAUCCUGGGAGGUAGAGGUUGCGGUGAGCAGAGGUCACGCCAUUGCACUCCAGCCUGGGCCACAGAGCGACACUCUGUCUCAAGAAAAAAAAAAAAAACCUGAUGAGGAUGUGAGGGUGAUCUGGCUGCAACAUCUGUCACCCUAUUGAUCACCAGGGUUGGUUCUGUUACCGACCAUAGUUUCUUGCGUUCUCCAUGCAAUAGAAAUUGACAUGAGGCUAAAAGACUUUUCCCAGACAAGACUUCAUUGGAGCUUUUGCCUGGACAUAAGGGAGGCAGCACAAGAGAGAAUUCCCUGACUGACUCUGUGCAAAGAGCCAGUAGGGCUUUUUAAUUAGGCAAAGCAUGAGAAUUGACAUCAGGGGUGGGGUAUGCAGGCUGGGCUGGGCAAAGCAUGUGAGGGGUAGGGUAUGCAGGUUAGCACUAUUUGGUUGUAAUGGUUACCUUGAGUAAUGGGCUACCUGGUGGUCUAGCUGGGGCAACAAGUCUGUAAAUCAGUUGUUCAGCAUUCCUUCCUGAGGUGGAAUACUCCACAACCUUGGUUUGAUACUUGGAUUUCCUAAGGCCAGUUCCUGGAAUUUGUUAAGUAAAAGACAUGGUUGAACAUGGUGUCAGUGAGAUGGUGGUGUGGGGUUUGUGAUCAGUGGGAAUUCAUGAAAGAAAGUUCAGUGCUGGUGAGCUGCAGCCAAGCCCCACUCCCAGUCUGUCUCAAUUUGGCUGAUCUAGCUGGCUAGGCCCGUGUCCCCUUCUCUCUUUACCGUUCCAUGUGCGUCCCUCCUAAAGCUGCGCACUUGGUUUAACCACCCAAUGGGUUCUUCUUGCCCGCUGCCCAGAUACAGCAAGUUUAUCAAGACACAGGAAUUGCAAUAGAGAAAGAGUUCGAUACAAAUAGAGUCAGCUAAACAGGAGACAGGGGUUUUAUUAUUACUCAAAUCAGCCUCCCUGAAAAUUUGGAGGCUAGGGUUUUUUAAAGGUAGUUUGGCGGGCAGGGGGCUCGGGAAGCGGGAAUGCUGAUUGGUUGGGUCGGGGAUGAAAUCAUAAGGAGUUGAAGCUAUCCUCUUGCACUGAGUUGGUUCCUGGGUGGGGGCCAGAAGACCAGAUGAGCCAGUUUACUGGUCUGGGUGGUGCCAGCUGAUCCAUCGGAAGGCAGGGUCUGAAAAAUACCUCAAACACCCUUCUUAGGUUUUACAAUAAUAAUAUUAUCUACAGGAGCAAUUGGGGAGGUUCAUGAUCUCGAGACCUUUGGCUGCAUGACUCCUGAGCCGUCAUUUCUAAUCUUGUGGCCAAUGUGUUAGUUUUACAAAGGCUUUCUGGUCCCCAGGCAAGGAGUGGGUUGGUCUCAGGGAGGGGCUGUUAUCAUCUUUGUUUCAAAGUUAAACUACAAACUAAAUUCCUCCCAAAGUUAGUGCUCCCUAUGCCCAGGAAUGAACAAGGGCAGCUGGGAGGUUAGAAGCAAGAUGGAGUCAAUUAGGUCAGAUUUCUUUCACUGUCAUAAUUUUCUCACUGCUAUAAUUUUUGCAAAGGUAGUUUCAGAAGAGGACAACCUUCCCCAAUACAGGAGGACUGUUCUUUGGUCAAGGGUAUACGAGUAGCUGCGCUCCCCUGCUAGAACCUCCAAACAAGCUCUCAAGGUCCAUUUGUAGGAGAAUGUAGCGUAGUCAAACUUCCAAGACUCCAGAC